rnacentral:rRNA from 1 species
UGGGGAAUAUUGCACAAUGGGCGAAAGCCUGAUGCAGCAACGCCGCGUGCGGGAUGACGGCCUUCGGGUUGUAAACCGCUUUCAGCAGGGACGAAGGUUUUCUGACGGUACCUGCAGAAGAAGCACCGGCUAACUACGUGCCAGCAGCCGCGGUGAUACGUAGGGUGCGAGCGUUGUCCGGAAUUAUUGGGCGUAAAGAGCUUGUAGGCGGUCCGUUGCGUCGGAAGUGAAAACUCAGGGCUUAACCCUGAGCCUGCUUUCGAUACGGGCGGACUUGAGGGAUGUAGGGAGAACGGAAUUCCUGGUGGAGUGGUGGAAUGCGCAGAUAUCAGGAGGAACACCAGUGGCGAAGGCGGUUCUCUGGACAUUUCCUGACGCUGAGAAGCGAAAGCNUGGGGAGCAAACAGGCUUANAUACCCUGGUAGUCCACGCCGUAAACGGUGGGCACUAGGUGUGGGACCCAUUUCCACGGGUU